AAGGAAUGACAAGCUGACCACAGGCUGUAGAAGAAGUGUAGGUCGAGAUGCUGGAUUAUGCAGCGCUUCCUGUCUAGAGAGAAAUCACUGAAAAAGGUUUUAUUGAAAGUGGUAAAAGAGGCAUCACAAGCAAUAGGGACCAGUUCAGUUUUGAAGUGGAUUUGAAGGAUCUUCAUAUUAGAAAUACCUCAUAAAUGACUCCAUUAUAAAAACUAUACCCCCCAAAGUAUUCAAAAUGACAUUUAGUCAGUGUUUUAACCCUUUCACAGGAAUAGCAGCAAAGUGAAGUAGAAAAUUCAAAAUCUAUAUUUUUUACACUCUCAUGUUCUUGUAGACCCAAUUUUUGAAUUUUUGCAAGGGGUAAAAGGAGAAAAUUUGUACUUGUAUUUGUAGCCCAAUUUCUCUCGAGUAAGCACAUACCUCAUAUGUCUAUGUAAAUUGUUCAACGGGCGCAGUAGAUGGCUCAGAAGGGUAGGAGCGACAAGGGGAUUUUGGAGAGAACAUUUUUCUGAAAUGUUUUUUGGGGGGCAUGUCACCUUUAGGAAGCCCCUAGGGUGUCAAAAUAGCAAAAAAAAUAAAUAAACACAUGGCAUACCAUUUUGGAAACUUCACCCCUCGGGGAAUGUAACAU